GACGAACGCUGGCGGCGUGCUUAACACAUGCAAGUCGAACGGAGUGGCGAACGGGUGAGUAACACGUGGGUGAUCUGCCUUGCACUUCGGGAUAAGCUUGGGAAACUGGGUCUAAUACCGGAUAGUGCAAGAUGAGCUCGCGGCCUAUCAGCUUGUUGGUGGGGUAAUGGCCUACCAAGGCGUCGACGGGUAGCCGGCCUGGGAGGGUGUACGGGCACAUUGGGACUGAGGUACGGCCCAGAAGCCUACGGGAGGCAGCAGUGGGGAGUAUUGCAGAAUGUGCGGAAGCCUGGUGCAGCGACGCCGGGUGGGGGAGGAAGGCCUUCGGGUUGUAAACUCCUUUCGACAGGGACGCGGUACCUGUAUAAGAAGCACCGGCUAACUUCGUGCCAGCCGCCGCGGUAAUAC
rnacentral:rRNA from 1 species